rnacentral:rRNA from 1 species
AUUGAACGCUAGCGGGAUGCCUUACACAUGCAAGUCGAACGGAUUGGCGAACGGGUGAGUAAUGUAUCGGAACGUGCCCAGUAGCGGGGGAGAACUACGCCAACGCGUAGCUAAUACCGCUUACUAUUUGAGCGGCCGAUACCGGAUUAGCUAGUUGGGGGGGUAACGGCUCACAAAGGCGACGACCCGUAGCUGGUUUGAGAGGACGACCAGCCACACUGGGACUGAGACACGGACCAGACUCCUACGGGAGGGAGCAGUGGGGAAUAUUGGACGAUGGGGGAAAGCCUGAUCCAGCCAUCCCGCGUGUGUGAUGAAGGCCUUCGGGUUGUAAAGCACUUUUGGCAGGAAGGCGGUACCGGCAGAAUAAGCACCGGCUAACUACGUGCCAGCAGCCGCGGUAAUUC